rnacentral:lncRNA from 13 species
GCCAGGCUGCAUUCGACAUUUUGCAAGUUUGCACAUGUAAUUCUCAUGAUAACCCUGUCAGAUGGGGUUUUUCACAGGGAGGAAACUUAGGAUCAAAAAGGAAACUACAAGUCUUCAAAGCACUGUUCCAUCGACCCAUAACUCAGCCCAACCCUGCAACUUGAACAGGAAGAUCCCCUUGUCUGUGUUAGCCAAGGUGCUGUAAGCCUCCAGCUGUCUGCAGCCACGUCAACCGACACUGCCACCAUUCCUGGCUACAAGGAGGAAGCCAAGCUGUAGGAGGAAAGAAUAGGACCAACUCACAGAGGAGCUGAGCCAAUUCAAAGGGGAGGGAAGGCAUGGCAGGGAGUCGUAGGAAAAGUGCUGAUGAUAUUGUGGGAGACCCUGGAGUCUCUGAGUCUAGCCCCACUUAAAUUCUCUUCUCUGCUCAAGUUGGCAGGGGUUAGGUUUCUGUCAUUUGCAGCUAAAAGGAUCCUGACCAAUACUUGAUCAAAGCAAAUAAUUGUGGGUCAAGAAAAGAUGAUUUAAAUGGAAUCCAGAAGACAGAAUAUUAAGGCAAUGCCUUUAUCAAUAAAUCCAUAAU